rnacentral:tRNA from 1 species
GCACUGGUGUUUUAGUGGUAGAACUCUCAUCUUCCAUGGGAGAGAUCUGGGUUCAAUUCCUGGCCAAUGCA